rnacentral:rRNA from 1 species
UACGUAGGGGGCAAGCGUUAUCCGGAUUUACUGGGUGUAAAGGGAGCGUAGACGGUGAAGCAAGUCUGAAGUGAAAGGUUGGGGCUCAACCCCGAAACUGCUUUGGAAACUGUUUAACUGGAGUACAGGAGAGGUAAGUGGAAUUCCUAGUGUAGCGGUGAAAUGCGUAGAUAUUAGGAGGAACACCAGUGGCGAAGGCGGCUUACUGGACUGUAACUGACGUUGAGGCUCGAAAGCGUGGGGAGCAAACAGG